rnacentral:rRNA from 1 species
GAUGAACGCUAGCGGCAGGCUUAACACAUGCAAGUCGAGGGGCAGCGCGGGAUAGCAAUAUCCUGGCGGCGACCGGCGGAAGGGUGCGUAACGCGUGAGCGACAUGCCCGUUGCCCGGGGACAACCGGUGGAAACGCCGACUAAUCCCCGAUGGGAUACGAUGCUUCAUGGCAUUGUAUUGAAAGUUACGGCGGCGACGGAUUGGCUCGCGUCCGAUUAGCUGGUUGGCGGGGUAACGGCCCACCAAGGCUGCGAUCGGUAGGGGUUCUGAGAGGAAGGCCCCCCACAAUGGGACUGAGACACGGCCCAUACUCCUACGGGAGGCAGCAGUGAGGAAUAUUGGUCAAUGGGCGGAAGCCUGAACCAGCCAUGCCGCGUGCGGGAAGGAGGCCCUAUGGGCUGUGAACCGCUUUUGCCUGGGGGCAAUAAGGGCGUCGCGCACGUCCGAUGAGCGUACCAGGCGAAUAAGCAUCGGCUAACUCCGU